rnacentral:rRNA from 1 species
AUACGUAGGUGGCAAGCGUUGUCCGGAAUUAUUGGGCGUAAAGCGCGCGCAGGUGGUUCCUUAAGUCUGAUGUGAAAGCCCCCGGCUCAACCGGGGAGGGUCAUUGGAAACUGGGGAACUUGAGUGCAGAAGAGGAUAGUGGAAUUCCAAGUGUAGCGGUGAAAUGCGUAGAGAUUUGGAGGAACACCAGUGGCGAAGGCGACUGUAUGGUCUGUAACUGACACUGAGGCGAGAAAGCGUGGGGAGCAAACAGGAUUAGAUACCCGGGUAGUCACGCCGUAAACGAUGAGUGCUAAGUGUUGGGGGGUUUCCGCCCCUCAGUGCUGCAGCUAACGCAUUAAGCACUCCGCCUGGGGAGUACGGUCGCAAGACUGAAACUCAAAGGAAUUGACGGGG